AACGUGUCGCGAUGGAUGACUUGGCUUCCUAUUUCGUUGAAGAACGCAGUAAAGUGCGAUAAGUGGUAUCAAUUGCAGAAUCUAUAAUUACCGAAUCUUUGAACGCAAAUGGCGCAUGGGAGAAAAACUUCGUGUUCGAUCCCCGUGCAUGCCGUAUCUCAGUGUCGA
rnacentral:rRNA from 1 species